rnacentral:rRNA from 1 species
UAAGGAAUAUUGGUCAAUGGACGCAAGUCUGAACCAGCCAUGCCGCGUGAAGGAUUAAGGCCCUCUGGGUUGUAAACUUCUUUUAUCUGGGACGAAAACGGGAUUUUUAUCUCAAUUGACGGUACCAGAGGAAUAAGCACCGGCUAACUCCGUGCCAGCAGCCGCGGUAAUCCGGAGGGUGCGAGCGUUAUCCGGAUUUACUGGGUUUAAAGGGUGCGUAGGUGGGCUUAUAAGUCAGUGGUGAAAUCUCCGAGCUUAACUUGGAAACUGCCGUUGAUACUAUAGGUCUUGAAUUAUCUGGAGGUGAGCGGAAUAUGUCAUGUAGCGGUGAAAUGCUUAGAUAUGACAUAGAACACCAAUUGCGAAGGCAGCUUACUACAUAUAAAUUGACGCUGAGGCACGAAAGCGUGGGGAUCAAACA